rnacentral:lncRNA from 1 species
GUUAAAUGCAUGGAAUUUAUUCUUAGUCCUUUUCUUAAUUACGACUUUUUAUUUCUCUGGUGUUCUCUAGGGGAGGGGUUAGAGAAGAGAGGAAAAGGAAGAAAGAAAGGGGGCAGGGAAAUAUAGAUUCAAUGCUUUUGUUUUGUUUCUGGGCUGCUUGCUAUCAGCAAAGUAGAGAGAUUUAACGGAUCUUGCCGAGAAUGCAAGCCUCAUUCCAAGGAAGCCAGAGCUCAGAAGACAUGGAACAAAUACAAUGAAAACAUAACUUGAGGUCGGAAAAUGUCCCCUGAAUAUUUAUGUCAAUGUCCUACCUUAGUGAAUAUUACUUAAUACUGUGGCUCCUUUAAAGCAUUGUGAUUUCAUUAUGAAGUCAGAUGGAAUGAGGAGUGUGUAAAUCCAGAAUCAGAAUCCCAGCGACGAAGCUUUUCUUGCUCUGUUACCUUGGAAAAUGCUUUGAACCAGACCAGAUAAGAAAAGUAAAAGUCUGGAGUGUAAUCCUUCCAAUUGUCUUUUGGCUUCUCUUCUACUUCUACAAAAAGUUCAACAAGUCGGUGGGCAGAAGUCUAAAAUCAAGGUGUCAGCAGUGUGGAAUCCUUCUGGAGGCUUUGAGGUACUCGACUGUGGUUCAAUCUCCAGACCUAGAACAGGAAUAGAAGCAAAGGGAUUUUCAAUAUAAAUAUUAGUUGAAUGAAGAGGACACUGAAGCCAAAGGAGAAAAUUAACUAGCUCAGUCUUGCAUGACCCCUGUGAAUGGACUGAUCUUGAAACCCAGGUAACCUUACUCCCUGGUCCCAGCCUUUGUUAAUGGGGACACAAUCCUGGAAAUUUUGCCUGUGUGUAAACCUCUAGGGGCUUUUUCUUUCAUCGUUUUACA